rnacentral:lncRNA from 1 species
AAAAAAAAAAAGAAGAUAACUUUAUAAAAUAGGUCACUAACUGGAAAAUAUCAGUGAAAUUGCAAGAUCUUAUUUUUCUUCAAAUGAACAUGACUAUAAGGAGGUAAAGUGCUGCACUGCUGGAUUGCUGUUUCCUGACUGCACUUCCAAAGGCAGUAAUUCAAACAAAGGCUUCCAAGACAGCUAUAUUGAAGCAAAAAAUAAAGGAAUAGAGAAUACUUUCAUCAGCUCGACUGGUCAUGAAUGAGACAUUGCUGAAACUGAAUUUUACAAGAAAAGUUCAAGAAAUAAAGUCAAGACGGCUUUCUAUGUAGAGGAAUUGUCACAACACAUGUCAUGAAGGUGUGCAGUGAGGAAGGAACCGUAAGGACUCUGUUGGAAGGUGCAGAGGAUGAGGUCAGAGCAUCUCAGGUGGAAAGUUUUUUUUGUGUGUGUGGAAGACCAACUCAGAGCAGUCCUGUGACAAAUCAUACACUGCUUUCUCUAUCCUCACAGUUCUGUAAGCUCCUGUUCC